rnacentral:rRNA from 1 species
AUUUUUUAUAUGUGGGACGGAUGCCUCCAAAAGAUUAACGGAGGUGUGUCAAGUAGGCUGAAGCUAAGAUUGUGAUUGUGAGCAUAAUGGCAUAAGCCUGACUGUGAGACAAACCAUUGUAACAGAGACAUAAGUUGACCAGAAUGAUCCGGAAGUCCCGUGUGGAAGGGCACUCACUCUAUGGAUCAAAGGUA